rnacentral:rRNA from 1 species
UGGGGAAUUUUGGACAAUGGGGGCAACCCUGAUCCAGCGACGCCGCGUGAAGGAUGAAGGUCUUCGGAUUGUAAACUUCUUUUAUAGGGGAUGAAUGACUUGGUGAAUAGCCAAGAAUGACAGUACCCUGUGAAUAAGCCACGGCUAACUACGUGCCAGCAGCCGCGGUAAUACGUAGGUGGCAAGCGAUACUCGGAAUCACUAGGCGUAAAGCGCAGGUAGGAGGUUUAGUAAGUCUGUUGUGAAAGCUCCCGGCUUAACUGGGAGAGGUCAACGGAAACUGCUAGGCUAGAGUGCGGUAGAGGUAGCUGGAAUUCCCGGUGUAGCGGUGAAAUGCGUAGAUAUCGGGAGGAAUACCUAUGGCGAAAGCAGGCUACUGGACCGUCACUGACUCUGAUCUGCGAAAGCUAGGGGAGCAAACAG